ensembl:lincRNA
AGCAUCAGUCCUUCCAGUGAACACCCAGGACUGAUCUCCUUUAGAAUGGACUGGUUGGAUCUCCUUGCGGUCCAAGGGACUCUCAGGAGUCUUCUGAAUCACCACAGUUCAACAGUAUCAAUUCUUUGGUGCUCAGCUUUCUUCACAGUCCAACUCUCACAUCCAUACAUCUUAGUGAACAUUAAAUAUGGGGCAGCUUUAAUGAUGUCUUCUUGAUAGCUAAGGAUCUGUAGUAAUAGACUCUGCUUUCUUUAAAUUUGUGUAUGAUCUGAGUUUCUCAAUGGAAUUUGAUGAAUGUCCAUUUUCUACAUCCUCUUCUCUUCCAGACUUCAAUUUGAGGAAAUGUCAUUCAGAUUUGGCCAACAUCUCAUCAAGCCCUCCGUGGUGUUUCUCAAAACAGAACUGUCCUUUGCCUUGGUGAACAGGAAGCCUGUGGUACCUGGACGAACUUUAUGCUUUCUAUUCCUAUGCCUUGGAUUUUUCUUUUUUUAUGGCUCUGAUGGGUGUCACUGCAGCCAUGAAAUCAACAGACGCUUGCUCCUUGGAAGAAAAGCUAUGACCUACCUAGACAGCAUAUUAAAAAGCAGAGACAUUACUUUGCUGACAAACGUCCAUCUAGUCAAAGCUAUGGUUUUUCCAGUAAUCGUGUAUGGAUAUGAGAGUUGGACUAUAAAGAAAGCUGAACACUGAAGAAUUGAUGCUUUUGAACUUGUGGUGUUGGAAAAGACUCUUGAGAGUCCCUUGGACAUCAAGGAGAUCUAACCAGUCUAAUCCUAAAGGAAAUCAGUCCUGAAUAUUCAUUGGAAGGACUGAUGCUGAAGCUGAAACCCCAAUACUUUGGCCACCUGAUGUGAAGAACUGACUCACUGGAAAAGACCCUGAUGCUGGGAAAGAUUGAGGGCAGGAGGAGAAGGGGACAACAGAGGAUGAGAUGGUUGGAUGGCAUCAUCAACUCAAUGGGCAUGAGUUUGAGUAAACUCCGGGAAUUGGUGAUGGACAGGAAGGCCUGGCGAGCUGCAGUUCUCAGGAUCAAGAAGAGUAUGGCGUGACUGAGUGACUGAACUGGGGCUGGGCUUACACAUACCUGGGUGGGAAAAGUUUCAAGUGAAAUUAUAGAGAAGAAAGUGUCACAGGCAAGUCUGUUUUUCACACAUAGCUGAUAAUAGCAUGUUAAUGUAUAUACCUUCUUAUGCAUUUAUAAGAGUCUUCCCCAGUGGCUCAGAUGGUAAAGCGUCUGCCUGCAAUGCGGGAGACCCAGGUUCAAUCCCUGGGUUGGGAAGAUCCCCUGGAGAAGGAAAUGGCAACCCACUCCAGUACUCUUGCCUGGUGAAUCCCACGACGGAGGAGCCUGGUAGGCUACAGUCCAUGGGGUCAACAAAGAGUCGGACACGACUGAGCGACUUCCCUUUCACUUUCAUACAUUUAUAUAUAUACAUUUUAAAAAUAAAAUGGAAAUUGUAUUUUAAACAGUGUUUGGUACCUGCUUCUGCUCACCACUUGUGAUCAUGUCAUUUGCCUCCUUUAUUAUUGAUAACAUAGUAGCCAUUGUACUAUAUAGCAUAUUUGAUAUUACCAACUAUUUACUAUGGGACAUUUAGAUGACCCAGCUCAUGAUUACGAUUGAACAAUUCCAGUACAUAAAUCUCUAGACAUCUGCUUUCUUCCUUAGAGUUCCAAGGAUAGAAUAGUUAGGACAGAUGUAUACAGGGUGUUCAGGUUUUUGCUGCAUGCUCCCAUAUGUCUCCUCAGAAAAGCUAUCAGGCUCACCAUGACUGCGUG